UAGCUCAGUGGUAGAGCACAUGCUUUGCAUAUAUGAGGCCCUGGGUUUAAUCCCCAG
rnacentral:tRNA from 1 species